rnacentral:misc_RNA from 1 species
AGCAAAUGAGCGCCGACCUAGAUUCAUCCCCAAAAUACCCUUGUCAUUGCUGGCGUCCUGAGCACAACCCAGGAUGAGAGGAGGGGUGCUUUGGGAACUAGAAAAUGUGAAUUUUUCCCUGACGAGACUGCCCUCAGCAUAGGUGCCAUCAGCGUAGAAGUAAGAAUAGUGGCAUAAACGGUUCUGGUCGCAAGAAGUAGGGAGGGUAAAAUCGGGAAUUCGAGGCUUGCAAAGAGGGUGAGUGCAUGGUAAAACAGAGAAGGAAGA